rnacentral:rRNA from 1 species
AUAAUAAUUAGGUUUUUGAUUGAAAUCUAGAAUGAAUGAUUGGACGAGAUGCAAGCUGUUUUAUAAUAAUUAAUUAAAAUUUAAUUUUUUAGUCAAAAAGCUGAAAUUUUAUUGAAAGACGAGAAGACCCUAUAAAUCUUUAUAAUAAAUUUAUUUUAAUAAAUUAUUUUAUAUAAAUUAAUAGUUUUAAUAUUAAAUUAUUUUAUUGGGGUGAUACAAAAAUUUAAUUAACUUUUUUAUUAGUAUUUCUUAAAUAAAAGAUUUAUAAAAAUAUGAUCUAUUAUUAAUAAUUCAGAGAAUAAGAUACUUUAGGGAUAACAGCGUAAUUUUAAUUUUAAGUUCUUAUUAAAAUUAAAGAUUGC